ACUGGUAUUGAUAGCUGGUAUAGUAUCAAUGCAUUGCUCUGAUCAUAUCAUAAUGCUGAUAGUAAUAUCAUAUCAAAAUCAAUGUUAAUGCUGGCAUGAUGUCUCACUGAUAUCGUGUCACCUCAUUCACCCUCUCCUGUCAAGAACUGGCUGAAUAAUUAUCAAGAUAUACUAAAAGGGAAGAUCCCAACAGAAAUCCUCUCCUCCCUCUCUCUCCCUUCCUCCAG